rnacentral:lncRNA from 1 species
AUGUGAUAUCUGAACUUUGAAUACACAGGCUUCCAGCAGUUAUACAAAAUAUUGCUGGGAUGAGAAUUGUGUUAGGGAAAAAUUAAAUAGAUAUAGUGUGCAAAGACAGAGAUAAAGUAUGUUCCUUUAGAUCUUAUGUAUCAGCAAGAGUUCAAGUAACACUAGAUUUUAUUUAGUUUUUACUACCAAGAAUUGAUUAGAAAUAUAGUCCCAGGAAUGACUACAUGUUCUUAUAUUUUAGUAUAUUUGUGUUAUUAUG